GAUGAACGCUGGCGGCGUGCCUAAUACAUGCAAGUCGAGCGAACGGACGAGAAGCUUGCUUCUCUGAUGUUAGCGGCGGACGGGUGAGUAACACGUGGAUAACCUACCUAUCCGACUGGGAUAACUUCGGGAAACCGGAGCUACUACCGGAUAAUAUUUUGAACCGCAUGGUUCAAGAGUGAAAGACGGUCUUUCUGUCACUUAUAGAUGGAUCCGCGCUGCAUUAGCUAGUUGGUAAGGUAACGGCUUACCAAGGCAACGAUGCAUAGCCGACCUGAGAGGGUGAUCGGCCACACGGGAACUGAGACAGGGUCCAGACUCCUACGGUAGGCAGCAGUAGGGAAUCUUCCGCGAUGGGCGAAUGCCUGACGGAGCAACGUCGCGUGAGUGAUGAAGGUCUUCUGAUCGGAAAACUCUGUUAUUAGGGAAGAACAUAUGUGUAAGUAACUGUGCACAUCUUGACGGUACCGAAUCAGAAAGCCACGGCUAACUACGUG
rnacentral:rRNA from 1 species